rnacentral:rRNA from 1 species
GACGAACGCUGGCGGCGUGCUUAACACAUGCAAGUCGAACGGAAAGGCCCUGCGUUUGUGGGGUUCUCGAGUGGCGAACGGGGGAGUAACACGUGAGUAACCUGCCCUUGACUUUGGGAUAACUUCAGGAAACUGGGGCUAAUACCGGAUAGGAUCUCCUGCUGCAUGGUGGGGGUUGGAAAGUUUCGGCGGUUGGGGAUGGACUCGCGGCUUAUCAGCUUGUUGGUGGGGUAGUUGCUUACCAAGGCUUUGACGGGUAGCCGGCCUGAGAGGGUGAACGGCCACAUUGGGACUGAGGUAGGGACCAGACUGCUACGGGAGGCAGCAGUGGGGAAUAUUGCACAAUGGGCGGAAGCCUGAUGCAGAAACGCCGCGUGCGGGAUGACGGCCUUCGGGUUGUAAACCGCUUUCGCCUGUGACGAAGCGUGAGUGACGGUAAUGGGUAAAGAAGCACCGGCUAACUACGUG